CAAGGGGUGGACUCGAAAAAAUUGAUUGGAGCAAAGCACCAUUUUACGCAUACUACAAGGACUUUGACAUUGAGGGGUGCCCAGUUCCUGGUCCACGCACCUGUGCCUCGAACCCUUCCAACUGGUGGGAAGGUCAAAGCUACCAACAACUUGACCCAAUUGCAGCUCGUCGUUACAGAUGGGUUCGUUUGAACCACAUGGUGUAUGAUUAUUGCACUGAUAAACAACGCUACCCAGUUACACCACCAGAAUGUUUAGCCGGAAUUUGAGAUGAUUGAAUAUUGAGGAUAUAUAAAUGGGGUUAUUGAUUAUUACUAUUGGCCGGUUGAGGAUGAGAACUUUGUUUAUUGUGUGUCUGGAAAAUAAAGUCAUUGGGUAUUUUAUGUGUACGUAAGAGGGUUAAAUUUGUAAUUGUACCAUACAAGGUAUCCUCAAUAGGGUGAAAUUAUUGUGUAUGCAUUUAUGGGAUUUCAAAUUAUCUAUGCAAAUAAUCUUUGUGUUUAUUUCUAUGAAUGAUAUCUACAAGUUUUAGAACUGGAUGAAAGAGCAAACCACACACGAGUUUUAUCGGUCGUGCUUCUUUAGUAAGUCAUGAAUUAACUGGAUAAAAAUUUAACUAACGCAUUGUAUGCUUGAAGUUGUGAAUCGAAUGUAUAAACUCAUAUUAGUUUAUAGAGUUUGGAUGUCCUCGAUCGAAUUAUGACUAUCAAGUAAAAUUGUGUCAAUAUAGAAGAAAUGGUAUCAAACUACUAGUCCGUUUUAGCUCAAAGCUUUCAAAAAUUCAAGUUUAUAUCUCUAUUAAGACAUUAUAUAAUUUGUUCAACUAUGACAUCAAAUAAAUGAAAACCAAACAUGUAUUACAUAAAUACGAGGUUUUAUAUAAUUUGUUCAACUCAAAUAUGUAUUACAUAAAUACGAGUUUUUAUAAAUUAUAAUACUAGGAUAUAGAAAUUGAAGGAAUCUACAUGAUUGUUCUCACACUACAUAAUUCAAUUGAUAGUAAACACUUACGGACACCUGAAUUUUAAUUUCCACAUUUGACGAAUGGUUAGAAUAAUUAUUUAGUAACACAAGUUUUAACUUUUUUUAUUGUUUGAAACGAAUAACAACUAUUUUUUUGUCAUCUGUUAGAUGUGUCUUAAGCAUUUGGAGUUCAAUGGAGCACUUAAAAACACGGGUGAGCAUCAGGGAUCAUGAGUGAGCAUCAAGGAUCACGAGUGAACAUCAAUGAUCAUAUGAGUGAGCAUCAGAGAUCACGAGUGAGCAUCAAGGAUUAGGAGUGACCAUCAAGGAUCAUGAGUGGGCAUCAGGGAUCUGACGUGAGCGUUAUGGAUGAUAACAAGUUGAAUAUGCUAAAAGGGGAUGUUCAUCAGUUGAAGAUGCUCAAUGAGAAUGCUCAUCAGUUUAAGAUGCUCAAGGAAGAUGCUAAUUAGUUGAAGUUGCUCAAGGAUGAUUCUCAUAAGUUGAAGAUGCUCCUGGAUGAUGCUCAUGCAAUGUAUCUCAAUGAUGGGGUUCUAAAAAUGAUGUCUUGUCAUAUUGUGUUUGGUUAAUACCUAUCAUGGGCUUAUAUAUUAAUGAGCUUGGCCUAUUAACAAUUUUAGGUAUGAUCCAUAGACUAUAAAUACAGAUGCAUGCUAGUAAUUUGUUUGAGGUCUUUUGUGUUUUAAAUCCUUAGUGAUUAGGUCAAAUCUCUAUUGAAUUGUAGUUCUAAUCUUUGUUUGGUAAUUCUAUGAAUAAGAAUAUUCCCCUCAUGUACAUUCACAAAGGUCACCUUGACCGCACCACAUAUGUGUCUUUGUGUGCUUUUAGUUUCGUGUGUUAUACAUAUUACUUCCUAACAUGAGUCAUUAGAUCUUGGGAAGUGGCACCAGAUCAGUUCUGAUUCUUGACAACUGUUGUUUGGUUUCCCUAAAAUAAAUGGUAUCAUAACUGUGGUUGGUGUUCAGUUGAUUGAAGAUAGCAUUUCACAAAUUCAAUUUGGAGAAAUUCAAUGGUUCGAAUGAUUUCACUUUGUGGAAGGUUAAUAUAAAGGCUCUUCUUGUUCAAUAAGGAUGUGAAAUAGUAUUAGAAGGAGAAGUGAAAUUGCCAAAAGACAUCGCGGCUGGGAAGAAGGUGGAUAUUUUGACAAAAGUGCAUAUUGUUAUUCUGUUGAGUUUGAUUGACAAAGUAUAGAGAGAGGUCGUGGAUCAAACAAGGGUCAUUUAGGCUUUAGGAGAAAUUUCGUGAGAAGUGUCAGAACAUUUCUAUGGAAAAUAGGAUGUAUCUAAAGCAACGUUUGUAAACUCUUAGAAUGUCUAAAAGUACCCAAGUGAAGGAUUAUCUGAAUAACUUCAAUAGGAUAAUAUUGGAUUUACAAGUUGUGGAUGUAAACAUUGAAUAUGAAGAUUAAGCACUUGUCCUCUUAUGUUCAUGGCCGAAUAGUUAUUAGAAUUUUUGUUCUAUAAUUUUGUAUGGUAGGACAACAAUCAAUGUGAUUGGUGUAAAUUAUUUUUUGAUGCCCAGGGAAAUGAAAAGAUUCAAUUUGUGAGGAAGUUUCCAGUUUAUGUUUGGUCGCAGGUAGAGGAAAAAGAUAACAUAUAAGAGGAGGUAACAAAGAAAAGUCGUGUUCCAAAUCUAAAUCCAACAUUAGAUAUGAUAAAUGUAAGAAAAAUAGGCACUUCAGAAGAGAUUUUCCAUUGCUGAAGAAAGGGAGUCAGGGAGUUGAAUCAAGCAAUAACAACAAUGUUUUUGUGGUUUAAGGAAAUUCUUAUGAAGGGGAUGAUCGUGAAGUUAUGAAUAAUUCUAAAAAUAGUUCUAUUGAUGCUUAGAUCUAGGUCUUAGGAGCAUCUUAUCACAUGACAUACAAUCGUAACUGGUUCAAAACCUUUAAAGAGCAGAAUGGCACAAUCAAGAUAGUUGAUGAUAGCAUGCACAAGAUCAAGGGCAGUGGUACAAUGCAAAUCAAGGUGCACAACGGUUCGGUCAGGACAUUAGAUUGGUGGUUUGUCCCGAAUCUUCAAAAAAACCUAAUCUCUUGGCACCUUGGCGAAAGAUGGACAAAAAUAUUCUAUAAAGGGUGACUAGGUAAGAGUCACCAAGGGUGCUCUCGAACUUAUGAAGGAAAAGAUGAAUCAUGCGAUUUAUUUCCCAGAAUAUUAUACGGUUAUGGGAAACGGUGGUGGUAUCCUAAUCCUUGGAUCAAUAUGAUGAUAAAACAAAUUUGUGGCAUCAUAAGAUAGGGCACAUGAGUUAUGCGAGUAUGAUAAAGAUUAUGAAAGAUUUGAAUGCCCUAGAGUAAUUAUAGAAUGACAUUUGCUAAUGACAUAUGAUCCUGUAAGGUCACUACGUUUUCUUAGAAAAUUUGUAUUGAUUUUCUUACAAAAAGAAAACCACCUAUGUUUUCAAAAAACAAAGACUAUAACCAUACCAAUCUUGCAAAAAUGGUUAUGACACCGGUUUUGGAGUUUUAUUCAUAAUCGUUUCCUAAAAACGCUAAAAACGAAAAUGGAAGUGUAAAAACAUAAGAACCUUAAAACUCUUUUUAACCCACCAAGGAUAAUUUUGAAAUCAAAGAAAGAUUAAAUCAACCAUAGAAAGUAAAAUGUUAAAACCUUUGAAGACUUUGAUUCUCAUGGGAGAUGAAAAAAGUGGUAAAUAUGUAGAAAAUGUUGAAAAGAACAAUAAGAUGUUCGAAAAAGGUCAAGAUGCUAUAACGUAUCCCAAGAUACAUGCUACAUGCCAAAGAUAUAAUGAGAUAUAAAUAUGUUUAAUAAAUCGUGUAAAUGUAGUGCAAACUGAGAAAGUUUAGUUUAAUCAUAAAUGUGAGAAUAAGAACAUAAGAAUAUACCGGGAAAGCCCUAGAUCACUCAACAUUUCCAAUGUAAAAGCUUGGGAGGCAACAAUUGUGACACUACUUUAAAAAUAUUAAUAAAAAUAAAGACGGUUACAGGUGUAAUAUAUUCAUGUAGUGUAGAAGAUUAGAAAAAGAGUAGAGAUGUCAAGAGCUAAUCCAAAGUGGUUGUAGAACAUGUUUUCUAAUAUGCUAUUUAUACAAAGGAAACAUUAAUAACGUUUGCUGAAAAUUCAGGAUUAUCCUUAGUCUUCUUUUGAAUGUUACGCUACAAAUCUGAGAUUUCCAUUUAUUUUUUCUUGACCAAUUUAAUCAGGAAGAAUAAACAUAUAUUCCCUUUGAUCGUGUUCUUAGUUGACUUAGUCCAUGCCUUGUGAUAUAAGCCUUUCAUCUUGCACAAGAAAUACUAUCGCAAUACCAAGAUAUUCACUUGUUUAAGAUCUUCAGCAGUUCAUGAUCUUUGGUGGUUCAAGAUAUUAGUACAUGUUCAAGAUGUUAGGCAUAAUAAAUUAAAUAUAAAAAUUUACCUCACAAAAGUUUCCCCCAAAAAAAUACAUCUUGAGGAUUUUCAAAAAAGUUUUCCGAAGACCUGUCUUACUGUUGGGGUGGUGAUGAUUUUGAAAAAGUAUAAGUGUUUUUGAGAAAAAACUAGGAUUUCUGAAGGCAACAUCAAAAUAGUUAAUAUGCUAAAUUUUGAAAUACCUUAGGAAAAAAUCUUGAACUUUUACGAAAAUUUUAAACUUAGGAAAAUAUCCAAAUUUCGAAACAAAUUCACAAUAGUUUUAACUUCUGAAAUCACUUUGGAAAUUAAGAAAAAUUGGCAAAAAUUAGAAGAGUGUUAAUUUUCAGAAAAGCUUAAGCAAAUUCAUUAUCAUUUUGUAGAAGAUUUCUCAAAGAGAUCUUCAUUAGAAAAACGUUAAAGUGCAUAGAUGAAAUUUGAAGAAGAAUCUUGAAAGAUGCAAAUGUUAGAGCUUAGAAAAAAUAUCAUAAGGAUAAGUGUGAAAAAAAAUGAUCGAAAGUGAGUCAAAUUUUCAUUAAAGAUCUUGGUACUUGUGAAUAUCUUAAUGUAUUGGCUUAGGAAUUUGAAUAUUAAUACAUAAGUGUUAAUUGCUUGAGAUUUUCUCAAAUAUCUUAAGAUUUUCCCUAUGUCGUAGUUAACAUGUUAAUGUUAAUGCAUUGUUAUUCUUUCCUGGCUAUGUGACAUAUCUCUGCCACUCCAUUAAUACAAAUCUUUUCGAUCUAACAUAUACCUAAUAAUAAGAAGGUUUCCAUCUACUAAAGCAUAAACUAACCCCAUUAUCCUUAAACUAUAGUUAGAUUUCUUGGGGUCAAGCGAGGUGUUUAAAUCCAAUAUCAUAUGAUAGAUGUUAAUCGUUAAACCUAUGAAAGGACUAAGUACCUUAUAAUUAGAUGAGUAAUCAACCGCUAACUUUUGGUCAAGAUCUUAAAGUUCUAAGUUCUACAAAAUAGAAGAUCUCUGGUAAAGGGUGCCCAUUAGCUUAGCUAACACCCCUCUGAUGCUCAAGUCAGUAUCAAGAAUGAAUAUAUGUAAGGAUAAUUGAAAUAAGAAAAUGGAACAUGCAUGAGUAUCUUGGGCCUACGCAAAAUAAAUUUUAAGUUGUAUGGCAUUACAAUAUCACGGGAGUACCUAAUCUUCUAAGGCUGAUAGCCAAUAUGCUCCCUACCAAAUUUUAAGUUUAUAUACCUUCUUAUUUUAAACAACCAUUAUAGCUUUGGGAAGAUCUUUGAGUUCAUCAUCUGUUUCAAGGUCUUGCACCAAGAUGUUGUUCCCUAUUUUUAGACUUAUAUUUCUUCCUUUUAAGAGGUUAUUUCAAAUUCCCUUUGCUUAACAGUUCACUAAUCGCUUUCCUUGAAGCAAUGCAAUCUUCAAUCAUAUUAAGAAAAUCCUCAUUAUAAGCAUACAAUUUUAAUCUCUCAAUCGAUAUUCACGUCUUGUUAUUUUUCUGGGGCCAUCUUGCCUUAUCUCCAAGAUCAUGAAUGGCAUAAAGAAAACCUAAAUCAUAAACAUUAAAAUAGUAUUCAUAUAGUUUAGGAUAAUCGCCUUCUUCCUCCUCAUUUUGAAGAACGUUAUCCCUAUCAUUCUUCGGUGUAGAACAAGGUUUAGCACUGUAAGAUCUUUGAGGUGAGGUUUAGGUUUUUCUGUUAGGAUGCUCAUAAGAUGUUUGCAUAUUCCUAUUUUUUUAAAGAUCAUCUUGUCUUCAUCAAGCAUAAUGAAUCUUAGAGCUCUACAUCUAACUUCAUCCAUUUUCUUGGAUGGAUUCACCACAAGAUCUUUGCAAAAAUAAUGAAUCUUUCUUGAACCUCAUCUUGAAGGCGUCCACAGAUGUGGUAACAUCCAAGAUUGCGAUGUCUAUACCUUUUCUUCUGAACAUGCUUAGAUAAUCUCACAAGGAUUCUUCAGUGUCUUAAGCUAUUUUGUAAAGAUCACUGGUUAGUUUUUCAAAAGUUCUACUACAUGAAAAUUGAUUAUUAAAUAUGUUAAUGGGAUGCAUGAAAUAUGUUAUAGAAAAAAGGGACGAUUUAGAAUCCAUUUUAAUUAAACUCCAGUAAGGGUUGCACAAAAACCAUUGCACAAAUAAGCUUCUUUAAGAUUUUAGAAAAUUAGGAUAAUCUCCAUGCUCUCUCUGUAUUGGGUAAUGGGUUCUGCAGGAUUUGUAAUCCCACGAUAGAACUUCUGAAUGUCCCAAACCCUUUGUAGAUUCGUAGAUCGAAUACAAACAAGAACAAUAAAGAACAAUGAAGAACAUAGAAGUAUCACCAAGUUGUCUUUCACCAAGAAAUUCGUAUUGUUUUUACCAAGAAAACGGAGUUGUCACAAAGACGAUUGACACAAAUCCAUUUACAAGACACUCUUACAACAUUAGAGUUUCACCAUAAUGCUGAUUAAAUACUAAUCUAUUCUAGAGAAUCCCUUAAAUCAAGGGAUUGUAUCUAAUCUAAAUAUAAACAAAUUUGCUAUAAAAGAAAUGUAUGAAAUCAUAUCUUCUCUAGAUUCGGAUAUCAGCACCAACACUUCAUAAGCUAAUUAGAGCAUCAGUUUCAGCGUCUGGAGAUUAGCUUCAGCUUCAGUAAUCGAUGUCAGGGUCAAUCUGAUCAACUUCAGCUUUAGCAGAUAGUGAAUGACCAUCAGUGAGUAUCAUCUGAUCAAUGUAUCAUCAAUGUAUAACCAUCAGCAUCUGGACACACUGAUCAGUCUUCAGUUGUAACAACCCAAAUAUCAAGUAAAAAUUUUCAUUUAAAUAUUAACAAUCCAUGUUUGAUGAUUAGAAAUUUCCAUCAUAAUUUUUUUUUCAAAGACUCAAUACAUCAACAUAUUAUAUAGAAAGAUAAGAGUAUCCAUAAUAACUAGUGGAGAAAGAAAAUUCUAGUGAGUGCACGCCACGCCAUCAAGUUGGGUCCAUAUCCUUGGAGCUAGAAGUACCUGAAACAUCCAACAAACUGUAAGCACGCGCUUAGUGAGUUUCCCAAAACACACGAAACAUAUAAUCACAUAAUGACAUGCGCACACAUAUACAAGUUUGCCAUGGAUUCCCUCCAUGGUCUUUAGUUGGGAUUCCAUCCCCGAGUCUUGGUCUCCUCCUAUGGUCUUGCCAAGUGCCAUGGGCUCCUCCCAUGGUCUACACAUAAUUCACAUAUAAUUCACUCGAACGAUUACAAAUUCGAUGAUUAAUAAUUUCAUAACAAUCAAUGGGCCGUCCUUGGUGCCUUCAACCCAUGAAUGUAUUUGGAGGACUCACCUCGAAUAUUGAAUGAUAGCUAACUAACUCCCGGCCCCAUUGUCAGCUCUAGUUAACCCCUAAACAGAAACUCAAAAUGCCCCAAAACCCCUUAUAAGUCAAACAUGGCCGAUCGGUCAAAAGGUCAAGAAAGUGAACUCAACCUGGCUGCUACAUUGCGGUACCCUUGUAUCAUGUUGUGGUGCCGGAUACGACAAAGUAGUCGCGAACCAACCCGCCAACAUGUCGUGGUGGCCUUGCCAUGUCAAGGUUACAGGGUUUUCAGUAGCUUAAUGCAUUUAGCCACUUCAUUCGAUUCCAAAAGGUCUCGAACUCAGAUCUGGCCCAAAAUAGGGUCUAAAUGGAUAAAGUUUCCAACAUUAUCCAAUAGAACCCUCUAAAAUGUAUAGAUCUCCACUUUUAAGAUCCAAAACACUUCAUGGCUUCACCAAUACUCGUCCAAUCUAUGGGGUUACCUGACCAAAAGCUACAAGACAAUCCCUAACUCCAACCACACCUUAAAAGUCGAUGCUUUUCAAACAUGCAUGUCCAAUUCAUGUCUUAACUAUUGUUAGUUCAAAAUAGGGAAAAAGGCCAAGAUGCCAUGCAUUACACUCAAAACUCAAAUCUAGACUUGAUCUACAGAACCAAAUGCUCCAAAUGACCUUUAGACUCAUAAAGUUGCAAGCUUUAUGAAGUUCAACCACCAAGGCAAUAAGAGAAAAGAGAAAAAAAGGGAAAAACCCAUAGAUCUAUUCAUAAACUCAUCAAGAUGAAGACUUUAUACCUCGUUGAGAUGCUAGAGGAAUGUGAACUCCUAGAUCUUCUUUGCCUUGGACUGCCAAUGAGGUCUUCCACUACCUUUUUCCUUCAUAAUCACCAAAAACUCACACAUUUAGGGCUUAUACUAACACAAUAGGUCUAUGGUUACAUAGGAAGAUUUGGAGAGAUGGAGGCUGAUGGGAGGUGGCAAGAUGGGGGAUAAGGAUCUUUAAAUAGGGCUCAACCCUUAAACUUUUGGGUUUUCCCCCCAUCAUCCAGCACCACGUCGUGGUGGUUUAUUAAGCCUCGCGGCCCAAACUCAGCGCCACGUUGUGGUGAGGCUUCACCAUGUCGUGGCUUCCAAAGAAGAUUACCAUACUUACUCUAAAAUUAUACCAUACCGGGAACCAGGUGUUACAACUCUCCCCCACUUGAAUCAUACUUCAUCCUCAAAUACCGUUGCAAAGAACAAAUCUGGAUAAUGCUCUCACAUCUUUGCUUCCAGCUCCCAAGUCCAUUCGGAUCCCCUCCGAUGCGCCCAUUUCACCUUUACCAGCAUCACCUCUUUGUUAUGAAGAGCCUUAGUCUUUUUAUCCAUGAUUGUGAUGGGAUUCUUAACAUAAUUUAGGCUAAUUAAAUGACUGCAGAUUCAUCUAAUACACACCACCAGAGCUGAGACUCAUGGAAAGUGUUAUGGAUCUGACUCUACUCAUCCGGAAGAUCCAUUCGGUAAGCGACCCUGACGACUCGGGCCGAAAUCCAAAACGGUCCAAUAAAUCGGGGCCCCAGCUUCACCCUUUUCCGAAACCGAAUGACACCCUUCCAUGGUGACACCUGCAGUAAAACAAAAUCUCCCACCUGAAACUCGAGAUUCAAACGAUGUCGGUGAGCAUAACUUUUCUGACGGCUCUGCACGACUCGCAACCUGUCACACACUUGUUGAAUCAUCUCGGUCGUCUUAAGCACUACUUCAGUGCUUCCCAUAACUCUAUGUCCAACCUUACCCCAACAAACUGGGGUUCUACACCUCUGACCAUACAACAUCUCAAACAGGGGUUGAUCAAUACUAGCAUGAUAACUAUUUUUAUACAAGAACUCUGCUAGCUGAAGGUAUGUAUCCUAACUCCCUCUAAAAUCCAAUACACAUGCCUAUAGCAUGUCUUCGAGUGUCUAGAUUGUUCGCUCGCUCUGUCCAUUAGUUUAGGGGUGGUAAAUCGUGUUGAAAUGUAAUUGAGUACCUAAUUCCUCAUGAAACUUUCUCCAGAACCUGGAGGUAAAACGAACAUCGCGGUCCGAGACCAUAGAUACCGGUACCCCGUGCCUGACCACCACCUCUCGCACUUAAAGGUCUGCUAAUUUCCAAACGGAGAUACUCUCAGAAAUUAGAAUAAAAUGCAUACUCUUCAUCAGCUUGUCCAUAAUAACACAAAUGGAAUCCACACCCCGUUUCGUCUUAGGUAGCUUCGUAAUAAAAUCCAUGGUGAUCUCUUCCCAUUUCCACAUGGGAAUACGUAGCGCCUGCAUCUUGCCAUGAGGCAUCUGAGGUUCAGCCUUGACCUUCAUGCAGGUCAAACAUGGCUCGACAAACCACGCAACCUCUCGCUUCAUGCAAGGCCACCAAUUGCUAAAUCUCAAGUAUCGGUACAUCUAUGUGGCCCCCGGGUGAAUACAAAAUUUGGACUUAUGCGCCUCCUCUCUGAUUCUUUGCCUCACACCCCCGGAUUUCGGAACCUACAAUCUGCCAAAAUGAUUCAAUAACCCCCGACUAUAUCGAACAAACAAUAGAAAUUGCCCCCGAAUCUACUCGAUCUUCCAGUUCUCCAUUUUUAAACCCUCCAUAUGUGCCUCCUUAAUCAUAUCUAAUAAAGGUGAAAUCACUGUCAACCUCAAGCAAACAUCUUGAAUCGGGCCACCUUUCACCUUACGGCUCCAAGCAUCGGCUACCACAUUAGUCUUCCCAGGAUGGUACAAGAUCUCACAGUCAUAAUCUUUCACCACAUCUAACCACAUCCUAUGAAUCAUAUUCAAAUUUUGUUGAUCCAUCAAAUACUUCAAACACUUGUGAUCGGUGAAGAUAGUACAUCGUACCCCAUAUAGAUAAUGCCUCCAAAUCAUGAGGGCAAAUACCAUUGCCCCUAACUAUAAAUCAUGAGUGGGGUAAUUCACCUCAUGAGGCUUUAGCUGCCUCAAGGCAUAAGCAAUGACAUGCCCCCUAUGCAACAACACAUCUCCUAACCAUGAAAUAGAAGCGUCGUAAUACACUACCAAAUCUUCCAAUCCCUCGGGUAGAGCUAGAAUCGGGGCCUCACAUAAUUUUUUCCUCAAUGUCACAAAAGCCUAUUGCUGAUCUGGACCCCACCGAAAAAUCACACUUUUCUUGGUCCAAUGAGUUAAGGGUAAAACAAUUAAUCUUUAAGAAUCCUAGAUGAUUCUCUGAUAAUAUUCCAUUAAUCCCAAGAAAAUCCUAAUCAUGGAUGCGUUUAUCGGAACCUCCCAACGCGUUACCGCCUCAAUCAUGGCACGAUCUACCAAAAUACUCUCUUGGUUGAUGAUGUGCCCCAGAAACUGCACCUUACGAAUCCAAAACUCGCAUUUAGAGAAUUUGGCAUAAAGCCUCUCCCUCCUUAAGGUCUCCAACAUCUCUCUCAAAUGUUGCUCAUGCUGCUCCUUGGUCUUAGAAUAGACCAAAAUAUCAUUAAUGAAAACAAUCACAGACUAAUCCAACAUUGGUCUGCAAACCUAGUUCAUGAGAUCCAUGAACACUGCUGGAGCAUUGGUGAGCCCAAAUAGCAUCACUACAAACUCGUAAUGACCAUAAGGAGUUAUGAACGCCGUCUUCGGUAUAUCUUCAUCCCAGAUCCUCAUUUGAUGAUACCCUGACCAAAGAUCAAUCUUGGAAAACCACGAUGUACCCUGAAGUUGAUCGAACAAAUCAUUAAUACUCGGGAGCAGAUAACGGUUCUUCACCGUUAGAUUGUUCAGCUUCCAAUAAUCAACACAAAUCCUGUAUGACUUAUCCUUCUUUUUCACGAAUAGGAUAUGUGUUCCCCACGGGGAACAACUCUGAUGAAUGAAUCGUCAAUGUAGCAGCUCAUGAAGCUGUGUAGACAACUCUUUCAUCUCAGGCUGAGCUAAACAAUAUGAAUCCUUGGUUGUACGAGCCACACCAGGCACUAAAUAGAUAUGGAACUCCACUUUCCUCUCAGGAGGCACCCCAGGUAAGUACUCUACAUAUACAUCAAGAAAAUCUUGCACAAUUGGCACCUUGCUCGUAUCUAGUGUGGCCUACACCCUCGUAUCCGAAACGUAAACGAAAAACCCAGAACAACCCUGUUAAAGGAGUCUCCUAGCCCUCGCAGCCAAACAGAGAGCUGGCCUACGAGAGGCUCUCUUUCCAGAAAAACUAGUUUUCCCCCACUUGGGGUUCGAACCCUCACUAACUGAUGCUCGUAAUCUAUGAUGGCCCCAUUGGGCCCCCACCAAUCCAUCCGGAUGAUCACCUUCAAUCCUCGCAAAGGAAUCGAAACCAAAUCCAUAGGACACCUCUCCCGGAACAUAUUUAGAACAAUCCUCCAAAAUACUCUUGCAGCACUCACAGUGCGGUCAUCCGCAAUAUCCAUCUCAAGUGGGGGAUCCAAAGUCCCCAAAGCAUCACAAAACUUCUUUUUGAGCGUAAGAGAUACAAACGAUCGGGUAGCCCCGAUGUAAAACAGAAUCUAAGCCGACAAACCAUUGACCAAAAAGGUCCCUAUAUAAAAUCAUAACAGCAUAAGUGUAAUCAUAAAAUAAACAAGAUAGAAUUCGAUCACAUACACAUCACGGCGUUUGGCGCUGCUCAUGCCUCCUCGGAUGUCAACUAAAAUGUGCGGCUCUUCACCGUAGGAGUUUCCACCUUUAUCAGACGGCCAUCAGUAAUCCUUAUCAAGACGGGUGCAUGCUUCGCCGCCUCCCCUCCUCUUUCAACCAACCUUGGACAAUCGGCCUUUUUCUGACCAUUACGGUUACGGUGGAAACAAAUAUAGCCCUUCUUGGGGAAAUCCCGGCUCAUGUGACCCAGCUGGCCACAUGCAUAACAUACCGAGCCUGCUGCUCGACAGGUUCCACUAUGCGGCUUAUCGUACUUGUCACACCGUCCACGACCUUGCUGGCCGUUGCUGGGAGGAUCGGAGGUCUUAGGCUUCGUGGCCUGACCUACUGCUGCCAGAACCUGCUCCGGCUUCCGCUUGGUCCGAAGCUCCAACUAAAUUUCCCACUCUCGGGCCUCUUCAUCAUGUCAUUCAGGGUCUUGCACCCUAAAAAAGCUCACAAACUCCCGAAUGUCAUACCUCAGCAUGGAAGGAUACCUCGCCUUCUUCAUCUCCUCAUCAACAGCAUACUGCGGAACCAAUAGUUCCCUCUUCUGAAACUUAGCGGUGAUCUCUGCCACAGUCUCGGUAGUUUGCGGUAAAUCCUGGAACUCUCUAACUAAGCACUACACAUUGAGUCAAACCACCUCACAAACUCCUCCCAAAUCAUCUCAACCACACCAGCCAAUCCCACCUCGUGGGUAACCUCCUCCCACCAUUCUCGUGGUCGAUCCCUCUACAUAAAAGAUACGAACCUCACCUUUACCGCGUCGGGGAAAAAGCUCGUGCGCUGGGCAUUCUCCAUGUCUUCCACCCAGUGUCGACUAGUGAUGGGAUCGCUUACCUCGAAUAACUCAGGCACUCCACACGCCUUGAACUCCCUGAACGAAGGAUCUCAAUCCCUAAUCUUCCCCGAAAAAAUCUCAGCUCGGAAUGACAUGAGUUGCUCUUUCAUGAUCUCCAUGAUGCCCUCCUUGACGGUAACAAAAAUCACCAGGGUGGCAUCAAGGAUGCCACGAGUAAACUCGGUUGUGAUAAGAUCGCGCAACUUCUCAUUACUGGUCUUCACAGCAGUGUCUAAACCUUAUCAUGAUCUCGAACCUGAACCUCUUCCAAUCAUCACCAUCCUCAACUAAAAAUAUCACAGCUAAGAAUGAAAAAGAAUUUGAAAGGGAUUCCUCUUCACCAGACUCCUAAGAGCUAUCAGGUUUGCCAUUAAUUUGGGUAUAGGUCCUAUGAUUUUCGUAGUAUGGGCCCCACACUACCUUCCACACCUACCUGUACCUUCCCCAAGGCCAUACCUGAUAUCCGUAAAAUUAUCCACCGCAAAUACAACACUAACUCAAAUCCUAAACCAUUCUAGGAUUCUUAAUUCUCAUCAAAUCAGAACUCAAUUCAGUAAUAGCAUGUUGCCUUAUGCAUGCAAGUUACACACAAAGAGAAUGACAUAGAGUGUCAAAUAAAGUUCCUACAUUAAACCACAACUAGACAAGGAACAAGAAUAAGGUAGAUUUCCUAAUUCUAGGGCUAUGCAAUCCUAAGCAUGUACAACUUUGAAAGCGUACACUUAGCAAAUAUUCCAUUCAACAUCGAUUUCUCUCUCUCUCUCUCUCUCUCUCUCUCUCUAUAUAUAUAUAUAUAUAUAUAUAUAUAUAUAUAUAUANNNNNNNNNUUAGGACCACUUACUUGAGCUCAGCCGAUUACGCACUUUGCACUCUCCCAUUUUACUUACAAAAAUCGAUUUCAAGAAAAUUUUAACUUUUGUUUCUUUUUGAAAAACAAUUUUACCGUUUCCUCAGUUUGAUUCUGACACACCCAACGGUGUGCCUUAAUCCCCCCAACCAGGAUGUGAUACGAACUUUUAAUAGCCCAAAAUUUCAAGUCGAUGUUUUUAUUUAAAUUUUAACAAUCCACGUUAGAUGAUUAUAAAUUUCCAUCAUAAAUGGUUUCGAAAGACUCAAUACAUUAACAUAUUAUUUAUAAAGAUCAGAGUGCCCAUAAUAACUAUUGGAGAAAGAAAAUGCUAGAGAGUCGGGCCUUUGCCCUUAGAGCUAAAUGUUCUUGAAACAUCCAACUAACUAUAAGCAUGCACUUAGUGAGUUUCCCAAAACACACAAAACAUGUAAUCACAUAAUUCCAUGCACACAUACAUACAAGUUUUCCAUGGGCUCCCUCUAUGGUCUUCAAUUGGAAUGCCAUGGGCUACCCCCAUGUUCUUAUAUCCCCGAGCCAUGUGCUCCUCCAAUGGUCUUGCCAAGUGUCAUGGACUCAUCCCAUGGUAUUCACAUAAUUCACAUAUAAUUAACUAGCAACCAUUACAUAUUCCAUGACUAAUCAUUUCAUAACAAUUAACGGGUCGGGCUUGGUUCCUUCAACCCAUGAGUACAGUGAGAAGACUCACCUCAAAUACUGAAUGAUAGUUGACUAAAUCCCGGCACCAAUGUCAGCCUUAAUCAACCCAUAAACAGAAACAUUUACUUAAGUACAACUCAGAAUGCCCUAAAACCCCUUAUAAGUCAAACUUGGCCGAAUGGUCAAAACGUCAAGAAAGUCAACUAAGCAUGACUGCUACGUUGUGGUACCCUUGUACCACGUCUUGGUGUCGGAUACGACGAAGUAGUCGCGAUCCAACCUACCAGCACGUCAUGGUUAUAGGGUUUUCAGCAGCUUAAUGCAUUCAGCCACUUCAUUCGACUCCAAAAAGUCUCCAACUCAGAUCUAGUGCAAAAUAAGGUCUAAAUGGAUAAAAUUUCCAACUUUAUCCAAUAGAAACCUCCAAAAUGUAAAGAUAUUGACUUCUAUGGGGGUUACUUGACCAAAAGUUACAAGAGAGUCUCUAACUCCAAACAUACCUUAAAAGUGGAUGCUUUUCAGACAUGCAUGCCCUACACAUGUAUUAACUCAUAUUACGUCAAAAUUGAGCAGAAAGGCCAAGAUUCCAUGCAUUACCCUCAAAACAUAAAUCUAGAGUAGAUCCAAAGAGCCAAUUGCUCCAAAUAGCAUAGAGACUCAUAUAGUUGCAAGAUUUAAGAAGUUCAACCACCCAAGGCAACAAGAAAAAACUGAAAAAUGGGAAAACCCCAUAGAUCUAAUCAUAAAAUCAUCAAGAUGAAGAUUUUAUACCUCCUUGAGAUGCUAGAGGAAGAUAAACUCCUGGAUCUUCUUUUCCUUUGACUCCCAAUGACGUCUUCCACCACCUUUUUUCUUCACAAGCACCAAAAACUCACACUUUUAUGUCUUAUACUCACAAAAUAGCUCUAAGGUUGCAAGGGACAAUUUAGAGAGAUGUAGGGUGAUGGGAGGGUGUGUCACACCCCAAAACCGAUAACGGCGGAAUAAGUUUCGGGGUGGAGGACGUCAUGUACAGUAUCAUCACAAUUGCAUAAUAGUAAAAACAAGAAACAUACAACCAUUUCAUUUCAUAGCAAGUUUAAUUACAAGUAUGUUCUGCAAAGUUCAACAAACACCAUAAGUAAUACAAAAAUAAGAGAUGGAUCUUGUAUGCUCCACCUUCUUCAAAAUUCCGCAUCUGUACCUGUCUAUCUUUGGCCUGAGGAUACAAGUUAUUUUGAAAACGAGUAUCAGCAUAAAUUUGGUGAGUUCGUAAGAGUUUAGUGUGAGUUUUGUAUAAAAUGAAUUAAAACAGAUAGUAUGAAAAACUGCAAUUCACGUUCAUAAGUAGUAGAAAACCGUAGAAAAUCCUAUAUUUUCCAGAAAAUAUAGCGUAUGUGAAAACCUUUAAGUUGUACGAAAUUUUCAUCAUUGAAAACCGUUUGAUGUAAAAGUAUAUUGACGAAUCUCCAAUAGGUAGUGUAAUAGGAAAAGUUAUGCCUGUUAUCAGUAAUAGUGGUGCAGGCUCCCAUUAGUAAUAGAUACUUAUUUACUUCGGGAUAUUAACUUAUACUUUAGUUUUAGUAUUUUAGUGUGGAGUUGGUGUAUUCUUUGUAUGCGACUGAUAGUGUGAGUAAUAGAGAACCCCCAUGACCUUCCCGGUCAUGCACAGUGUAGUGAAGUAGCGUCAUCCCUGGGCUUGCACAGCUCGGACUGAAGUUAACAAUCGGGACGUAAUAGUGUCUGCCCCGUAUAGAUCUAUACAUGUAGCGUCGUCUUCCUAUAGGAAAACUCUAGGCAUAGUAUGUAACGAGUAGAGUAUCUUGUAGUAAAUUAGUGUGUAUCUUCCUGAUUAGUGCUUUCUCUUGUAUUAUAGUGUAGUAGUCUUUUAUAUAGUUCGUAGUAUGUUCUCUCGUUCGUGUAUAGUCUCGUAAUAGUGUGUAUUAUAGUAUGUAGAGUAGUGAUAGUAGCGAGUAGUAGUGGUGUUAACUAUACCUAUUAUAGUUAACUUAGUGUGUAUGGUUCUUGUCAAUUUAGUAGAUUAAGCAUCGAAUGGAAUGAAAAUACACGUAUCCAACACCAAUAUACAUGAUAUAUAACUAAGAAAUCAACGACAGUCGGACGGAUAACGACUACCCUAAGCCCACAAUCAAACAAGAACAGGAAAUAAGGCGAGCUAUCGGUCCUAAGUCCUUCAAGUCUUACUUAUAUAAAUAUAUUUGUGUGGUUACACUUUAUAAGAAAAUUUAUUUAUUAAAAAUCUUGUCAAAAGGGAACAUUUUGAAAAUUGUUUAUUCAUCCAAAAUUGUUUUGAAAACGCAAAGUUCUUUCAUAAGGCAUAGUGAUAAAUCACAUGUGAUUUGAACUAUGGAUAGUGAAUCACAGGUGAUUAAUUUUCAUAAACAUGUAUAUUUGACUUGUAUCCCCACCCUAAAAGAUAUAAAAACAUUUGAAAUGUUCAUUUAAGGGGUAUGAACUCACUUGAAACCGAGUAAAUCGGGUAAAUCGGGUGAAAGUGUCGGUUGAGCGUUUGGUACCAAAUAAGGACUUGUACACCUUUUAAGACCCUAUUAGCAUAUGGAAUAUGUGUUUUACAAGAAAUUAGUCAUUUUAUGCUUUUUAUUAAAACAUUUAGAUAUUCUAGCAUUGAUUCGGGGUCUUAGGGCUUAGAAGUGGUUCUCGGGGGUUGUACAAGGCCAAAAAGGGGUUACGCGGGAGUCCAAGAGUUUACUCCCUUGGAGUUUAUGGCCCAAAGGCCACUCCUUGGGAGUUUAUGGCCAUAAGUCCCUAGGCUUGGCCGUGAACUCUUGUUCUCCUCCCAAAAAUGGAUGCUAAGGCCCUAAAUCAAUCCCCUAUAUUUCUAGUGAAUGUCUAAGACCAAUUUGGGGGUUUUAAACCUUCAUUUGGUGUUGUUUGGGGGAGUUUACGGUCCUAGCUUAUGCUUGGGCCGUAAACUCUAUAUUAUCCCUCAAAAUGUGUUGUUAAAUGGCCCUAAGCAUUUCCUAAAAUCAUAUCUUAAUUCUAAUAUGCAUUGGAUGGGUUUUUGGGACAUUUUAACAAGGAAAAAGGGUGUUUACGGCCUAAGCAUAUGCUUGGGCCGUAAACCCUCUUUUCGGCCUUAAACACUUGUGUUUUGAUGUCCAAACUCAUCUAGGUAAAUUCCCUAAUUAGCAUUCAAGCCUAAAGGAAGGAAAAGUUGGAGUUUGGCCAUGUUUUGGGGUGUUUACAGCCUAAGGAGCUUCUUAGGCCGUAAACUCCUUGUUUACUCGUCAAUCAUAUGAUUUUCUAGUUAUAAACACUUUGAUGUACGUUUAGAACAAGUUAGGAAAGAAAAUCUUACGUUUGGAAGCCAGAAUUCGCGGUUUUGGAGUCGGAAUCGGGUCUAGAGAGAGAAAGUAGUGAGAGAGUGUAUGUUUGGGGUUGUAAAAGGGUGCAAAGUGGCAUCCAUUUUCCUUAAAUAUGCCUCAGGUACUACACCCGAUACACAACUACCCGAUGCUCAAGUUUAACGGGGUUUAAACUUUUUACCCAGGUGAAGUGGUUGAAAAGUAAUAUAACUUUAUUUUGUUAAACGGGAUUUCAUUAACAAGUUAUAUUUACUUAUACUAAAAUGAUAAUGACAUGAAAUAUAAAUAAAUAGAUAUUUAUUUAUUGACGACUCCAAAUAUUACGGAAAUUUUCAAAAGCGACGAAUUCCGUUAGUGAAAACGGGAUUAUGUAACGGAAUAAAAUUUGGGUUGUCACAUCAUCCCCCCGUUAGGGGAAUUUCAUCCCGAAAUUUAGAAUUGAUACAGAGAGUCAUUACAGAACUACUAUGCAAAAAGAUGGGGAUAUUUGAGUUUCAUUUGAUCCUCGCGCUCCCAACUGAAUUCCGGUCCUCGCUUGGCGUUCCACCGAACCUUCACAAUUGGGAUGUGGCUUUGUUUCGUUCGUUUUACUUCCCGAUCCAUAAUCUUCGCAGGCUCUUCCAUGAAGUUGAGGCUCUCAUUGACCUCGAUCUCGUCAAAGGGAAUCACGAGAGUCUCGUCGGACAGGCAUUUCUUCAAGUUUGAGACGUGGAAGGUAGGAUGUAGGUUACAUAGCUCGUGGGGUAGGUUGAGUUUGUAAACUACGGGGCCGACUCUAGCGAGAAUCUCGAAAGGCCCUAUGUACCUUAGGUUCAGCUUUCCACGCUUUUCGAAGCGUAUCGUGCCCUUCCAGGGCGAGACCUUCAAAAGGACUCGGUCUCCCACCUGGAAUUCCAAGGGUUUUCUUAGUUUGUCGGCAUAGCUUUUCUGCCGAUCCCUAGCAGCUUUUAAUCGUUCACGAAUCUGUACAAUCUUCUCGGUCGUUUCUCGAAUGAUCUCUGGACCAGUGAGAGCGCUAUCAGGAACUCGUCCUUUAGGUAACUGAGUGUCACCCACCUUAGCCCAGCACAGAGGGGAUCUGCACUUCCGACCGUAGAGGGCUUCAAAUGGAGCUGCUUUGAUGGUUGUAUGAUAACUAUUAUUGUAGGAAAACUCCACAAGAGGUAGGUGUGUAUCCCACGAUUUACCAAAGUCGAUCACACAGGCUCGCAGCAUAUCCUCUAAGGUUUGGAUCGUCCUCUCAGUUUGUCCGUCAGUCUGCGGAUGGUAGGCUGUACUCAUGUCCAGCCUCGUCCCUAGUGCCUUUUGUAGUGAUUUCCAAAAUCUCGAGGUAAAUAUACUAUCUUGAUCUGAGAUAAUAGAUAUAAGGACACCAUGCAGCCGUACUAUUCCUUAAGGUAUGUUCUUGUGAGCUUCUCCAUCUUCUCCGUUUCCUUGAUGGGUAGGAAGUGUGCAGACUUGGUCAAUCUGUCGACGAUGACCCAAAUGGUAUCCAACCCACCCGUUGUCUUGGGCAGCUUGGUUAUAAAGUCCAUUGUAAUCCGCUCCCACUUCCAUUCCGGUAUCUCCGGUUGUUGAGGGAGACCUGAUGGCUUCUGGUAUUCGACCUUAAUCUUCGCGCAAGUAAGGAACUUACUGACGAAGGUAGCAAUCUCCGCUUUCAUGUUAGGCCACCAGUAUAGCCUCUUGAGAUCCAGAUACAUCUUAUCCGAACCUGGGUGGACGGAGUAUCGCGUGUUGUGGGCUUCCUUCAUGACCAAAUCUCUGAAACCUCUGUGGCGUGGAGUCCAGAUUCGGUCCAUGAGAUAGUAGGCUCCGUCACUCUUGACCUCCAAACUUUUAUCCAUUAUGCGCAUGGAUUCUCCCGUCACAUUCUCAGGCUUUAAGGCUUCCAGCUGAGCCUCCUUGAUAUGUGCUGAUAGAUGCGAAUGGAUAGUCAUUGUUAAUGACUUGGUUCUUCGACCAGAAUACUCUUUCCUACUCAAGGCGUCUGCUACCACGUUGGCUUUCCCGGGUGAUAUUGAAUCUCGCAGUCGUAAUCGUUGAGUAGCUCGACCCAUCGGCGUUGUCUCAUAUUGAGCUCUUUCUGGUUCAGUAUGUGUUGGACGCUUUUAUGAUCAGUGUACACUACGCUCUUCGUUCCAUACAAGUAGUGUCUCCAGAUUUUUAGUGCGAAAACGACCACUCCUAACUCGAGGUCGUGAGUAGUGUAGUUCACUUUGUGUGUCUUUAGCUGUCUUGAGGCAUAAGCGAUGACUUUACCUCGUUGCAUCAAGACACAACCGAGUCCCUGAUUCGAUGCAUCGCAGUAUACCACGAAAUCUUCUGUUCCUUCGGGAAGGGAUAAUACUCGUGUGGUGCAUAGGGCUCGCUUCAGGGUCUGGAAUGCCUUCUCCUGUUUCUCUUCCCAGUCAAAUGAUACGCCCUUCUGGGUCAACAUAGUGAGAGGCUUCGCAAUCUUAGAGAAUUUUUGAAUAAAUUUGCGGUAGUAGCCAGCGAGGCCUAGAAAUUGACGAAUCUCUGUAGGCGUCUUCGGUGUUGACCAGUUCUCAAUAGCUUUAAUUUUGGAGGGAUCCACGUGGAUUCCUUCUUCACUAACCACAUGUCCUAAGAAUUCAACUCUUCGGAUCCAAAAGUCGCACAUAGAGAACUUCGCAUAUAACUUCUCUGAUCGCAGGGUUUCCAGGACUCGUCGUAAAUGAUCCCUGUGUUCUUCCUCGCUCCGAGAGUAGAUGAGUAUAUCAUCAAUAAAGACGAUGACGAAUUGAUCUAGAUAUGGACGACAUACCCUAUUCAUGAAGUCCAUGAAUACUGCGGGGGCAUUAGUCAGUCCAAAGGGCAUCACUACGAACUCGAAGUGCCCGUAACGGGUUCGGAAAGAUGUCUUCGGAACAUCUUCCUCUAGUACCUGUAACUGGUGAUACCCAGACCUUAGAUCAAUCUUCGAGAAGUAACUCGCUCCUUACAGUUGGUCGAAUAGGUCGUCGAUACGAGGGAGAGGGUAGCAAUUUUUGACCGUGAGUUUAUUGAGUUCCCUAUACUCGAUGCACAUACGGAAUGAUCCGUCCUUCUUCUUUACGAACAAGACCGGAGCUCCCCAAGGUGAGAAACUCGGUCUUAUAAAGCCCUUGCUGAGCAGCUCGUNUGACGGGAUAUUCUGGCAUCUCGUCAGGCGCUAACCGAUAAGGAGACUUUGCUAUGGGGGUAGCUCCUGGGACUAGGUCGAUUCUGAACUCAACUUGACGUUUCGGAGGUAGACCUGGAAGGUCCUCCGGAAAGACAUCGGGGAAAUCGCAUACAACGGGGAUGUCCUUCGGCUCAUUCGCUUUCUGGCUGGUGUCGACAACGUGAGCAAGAAAGGCGCGAUAUUCCUUACGCAAGUAUUUCUGAGCCUGGAUACUAGAGAUGAUACGAAGGCUCGUACCGAGUUUAUCUCCAUAGAUCAAUAGAGUUUCGUGGUUCGGAAGAUUCAGGCGAAUGGCUUUGUCGAAACAUAGAAUAUCGGAACGGUGAAGACUCAACCAGUCCAUAUCGACAAUGACAUCGAAACUCUUGAUAGAGACUGGUAUGAGAUCGACUGGAAAUGAGUGAUCGUCUAACGUGAGGGUACAACCUAUAUAGAUUUCACUAGAGCUUUCGGUUUUCCCGUUAGCCAUUUCUACGAAGAAUGUUUCUUUUAGUUGUUGAGGUGUUUGUUUGAGCAAGUGUUUAAAGUUUUGGUUUACGAAGCUUCUUUCUGCACCACAAUCGAAUAAGACACAGGCAUAAGAAUUGUUGAGAAGAAACGUACCCGUGACUACUGUGGGAUCCGCCACCGCUUCAUUGUGACCAAUGGAGAGUAGUCUUCCAUUUCCCCCAGCAUUUUUAGCCUUCGGACAGUUUUUCUUGAAGUGACCAGCUUCACCGCAGCCGUAACACGUUGGGGUCACUCCCGAACCGGGAACUUGCAAGAUAGGUUUGGGAGGGGCCUUGCAGAAUCGCACAGUACGCCCCUUCCGACCGCAGUUGGAACACUGCAAUUCACGGUAGGGGCCGUUGUGGUGGAAAGGGCACUUGGGACACUUGGACAGAUUCCCAGUAUAAGCUUUUGGUGGUGCAGGAGUGGCUGGAGUAGUGGCAGCAUGGACCACCACAAUUUGCUGGUCCUUGGAGGAGGUUUGAGUUUUCUUGCCUUUCUUCUUAUCCCAUCGCUUCCUCUUUCUUUCAGAUGAAUCGGGUGGUGCAGCGGUAGUUGUGAUUGUUGUUGCUGGAGUGGAAGAGACUUCAUGGUUGAUCAGACUUUGGGCCAAUUCCUUGGCGCUGUCGAAGGUGGUAGGGCGUGAGGCUAGAACAUUUCCUCGAUAUGGGGGCAUUAGACCCCUGAUGUAUCGUUCGAUCUUUUUGCUUUCGGAUGGGAUCAUGUUGGGACACAUAGCCGCCAAGUCGCAGAACCUGGCCGUGUAAGCUAUUAUGUCGGUCCCUAUCAUCUUGAGGUUCCAGAGUUGCUCCUCAAGCUUUUGGAUUUCGCCCCUAGGGCAGUACUCCCUUCUCAUGAGAUCUUUUACUGUGUCCCAGCCCAUGGCAUUGGCUGUGACCAAGGAGAGUGCACUGACAUGGCCGUUCCACCAUGUCAAAGCCCUGUUAGUGAGGGUGGAAGUAGCGAACUUGAUUUUGCUCUCUUCGGGGCAAGAGCACAUUUCGAAUACAGCUUCGGCUCUUUCGAACCAUUGGGAUAAUGCCAGAAUUUCUCCAGUACCAUCGAAGAAGGUAGGUUUACAGUUCAUGAAGUCCUUAUAAGUGCAUCCCUACACUCUUUGAUGGACUUCACCAAAUCUGGAGUUACCACCGCUCGCGUCCCCGGAGUCCAUUUGGGCCAUGGCGGGUGUUACAGCUGCAGUCACAGCCGUUUGAAACAGCACUGGGUCGAACUGCGGGGGAGGAGGUGGUGGAGGAGGGGUUUGAGUUGCUGGUCUUCCUCUGCUUGGACGCUUUCAUGGAGGCAUCUUUCACUGGAAGACCAUAGAAAUGAUAGCAAUAGUAAGAGUCUAUUGCGAAUAGGAAUAGAGUGUUUCAUGGAUUAAAUCAACAUAAUCCAAGAUCAGAAUGAGAGUCAUAGCAAUAGAGUAGUUAGAUGACAAUAUACUGGUAUUAAUGAUGUAAUGCAAGUUCAUGAAAAUUGACCUAACAGUAGGUCUUACAUCAACCAUAAGGAAAAUGUUGGCAGUUUAGAGGUCUAGUUAGAGUACUUUUAAACCUAGGAAUGUUUACAGACAAGAGAGCUACGGAACAUAGGGAGGAAAGGCUAGUCCUUUAAACAAAAGAGUGAGGUACUAGACGUCUUCUACUGGCGGCGGUUACUUGUUGGGCGAACUCUCAGAUCCGCUAGCUGACGCAUAACUUCCUGAAAGUGUCGAUCUUGAAUCCUUUGACGUGCCCGGAGUUCCCUAACCUCAGCUCGGGAUGCAGCUAGCUGGUGCUGCAGAGCCUCGUUGGUCCUCCUUGUCCUGUCCAUUGCUUCUUCAAGUUGGCGGAUGCGAACAGUGUUGAGAUUCGAGUUGGCAUCCACUUCUACAACUCGACCAAUGGCUGCUUGACCCUGCUCGACAUUCCUGGCAAUCCGACCAUGAUGGGCAGAACUCGGUCCGCUGAUCCUCCUUCGCUUAUGUUGUAGAAGCUUCAGUCUCCAUUGAAAGGUAAGGGCUGGCCCUGCUCCUUGCUCCAUCGGUGCAAGGAUAUGGCCCACAUAGGAGUGGGUCUCUGAAAUACCAGACGAGGGUUGGGGCUCGGAGCUUCAGGAGGUAGGUUGUUAACUUCUGGUUCGGAGCUGGAGCUAUCCGAGAAGCCUUCAGCAUGAUGAUCAUCCAAAGGGAUCGGGUGAUCAUCAUUUGACUCUUCAUCGGGCCAUCCUCCAUUGCCCUCGUUUGGAUAGUACGGAUCACCGGGAUGGUGGAAGCCAGCCAUGCUAUCUACGCGAGAAAAGGGGGAAGAAAGGUUAACAGAUGUACUACUCUAAGAUACUUAUAAGAUGAAUCGUUAUUAUUUGACCCAAUACUUGCGUAGUGCAUACCAAUUACANCGAAGCAAGAAGUCCUUCGAAUAAGCAACCCUAACUCCAGAUCCCCAAUCAAACAAGAACAGGAAAUGAAGCAAAGGCUACUGAUUCUGAGUCUAUAGCGCCCUAGUGUGACAACCCGAAAUUUCCAUUCUGAACAAACCAUACCAAGCCAAUAGAAGUAGAGCAGUUACAGUGAAAAUUCAGACUUCGAGUAAAAGUUUGGCAGUUUUCAGGAUUUUACACUUAAGAAGAUAUUAGGAGAGUGGAUGCACUAGGGUUUUGUGCAACACUGUAAUUCCAAUACUCUAGGAUAUUAGAGUUCAUUCCUAGAAUAGAAAUAUUUUCUGCCAAAAAUCUCAGGACUAUAAAUAGAAUUCUGAACCAAAUUGGUUCAUUAGUUGAAUUCCAAUUAGAGAAAAGCCAAAGUCUCUCUCACGGAUCUUCGGGUUUUCAUCCCAAAUCGUGAGUACACUUCUCUAGUUGUGCUAUAAUGCUUGUUUUAUGCUUAUUAACAUAGAUUGUAUAGCAAAUAUAUGAGAUCCAAGAGUUUACCGCCCAAGAACGUUCUUGGGGAGUAAACUCCAAAAUGAAGCUUAAAGGCCAUCUAGUCCCAUUUCCUUGUUAGGUAACUAGCUUAGGAUAAUAUGUAUGAUCAUUUGAGACUAGAAAUCAAUCAAGAACACAUAGCUUUAGGAGUUUACGGCCCAAGAGUUUCUUGGACCGUAAACACCAAUUUCAAGGGCUUAAAUGUGCCCUAAUCACCCCCAAAGGCUUUAGACUUUAACCCUCAAUUACUUCUAGCUAAAUUGGAGACUUUAACACCUCAAGAACACCCCUUAAAGGGAGUUUACGGCCAAGAAAUGCUCUUGGGCUGUAAACACCAAGUAAGGGCACCAAAGUGUGCCUAGGGUCCCCCUUAGCCUUAAACAAAAGCCUAGAAAUUAUCCUACUUGUGCAAGAGACCUGAAAGAAUUAAAACAUCCAUCCCAUGAGAGUUUACGACCGUAAACUCUAAGGGAUGUGGUCUUUUGGCCGUAAACUCCUCAAAGGAGUAUUCUCCAUGCCCUAAACUACCAGAAGGAUUAAACCACCAACCUAGGAUUAAACCACCAAGGGAGUUUACGGCCGUAAACUCCAAGGGAAUAUGGUCUUUGGGCCGUAAACUCCCCAAAGGAGUUAAUAUGGCACCCAAACACUUGUUAUAGCCUUGAAACAAUUCACCACUAGAGUUGUAAUAAUUCUAAGCACCAUUUAGAGCCUUGGUUGAGAGUUUACGGCCAGGAGUUUACUCCCCUGGGCCGUAAACUCCAAUGAAUAUGGUCAUUAGACCUUAAACUCCCAAUAGGGGCAUUGCACUCCUUUGUUGCAACCCAUUAGCCUCCUAGCACUUGACCAAAAGUGUUUUCCUCGCGCUUAAAUGUUUAUACUUGUAUAAUUAGUUUAUUAAUCACUAAUUAUUUAUAUACAUAUGCUUUCAUAUGAAAUUAGGAUCGUUGUGUGUGUCUAAGUCUUCGCUUGACACCAAGCACUUGCCCGAUCCUUCCUUACGAUAAUAGUCCGUUCAAUUCCAGUCACUUACUGCAGGUGAGUUCAUACCCCUUAAAUAAUGUUUUAAACUAUUUUUAAAUGUUUUAUGGGGGUGGGGAUACAAGUAGAAUUAUGCUAGUUAUUAUAUCAAUCACAUGCGAUUAAUAAGUAGAAUUACGCUAGUUAUUAUAUCAAUCACAUGUGAUUAAUAUACAACAUUCAAAAGAUUUGGCUACUCAUUAGCCGUUUUACCAAACAGUUUCCUUCAAAUGAUUUUAAUAAACAUUUUAUAUGUUUUAAACUCCUUAUUACACUGUAUAUUUUACUCUGUAUAUCACAUUCCAAACUUAUUUACAAUUGUGUUUCAAACAAAUGUUUCUUUAUACUAAACUGUUUUAUCAAACUCAUGCCUUCAAAUUGUUUUAUAGAUUGACAUCAAGUCGAUCUUUUCUUAAAAUAAUAUUUAUGUUUCAAAUGUCUUACAAAACUUAUUUAUGCUUUUAUAUUAUAAAUUGCAUGCCUCUAUAUGUAUAGUUAUAUAAGAAAUGUUUAAAAGACUUAGGAAGGCUAUCCACCCUAUUUCCUUUUCGCGCUUGAGAUGUGGUCUGGUGGGAUAUCGGGUACUCGUCCGAAGGUCGUUUAAAUAUUAGUUAUAUAUCAUGUGUACAUAUAUAGUCAUAAAAGGUCCUUCCAGUUCAUCCCAUGCCCUUGGGUAGCAAGGGUAUACAUCCAUGACCAUACGUACCAGAUAGAUUACUAGUAAACUACCAUAUGGGUAGUUUAGGAAGAUACUAGAACAAUUACUAGAACGCGAUAUCAUACAAUGAGUCAGUUCAUUCAUGAGUCAAUACUUUCUAGAACAUUACAGUACAUUACAUAUACAACUAUACUAGGACGAGAACAUAUACAACUAUACUAGAACGAUUACAUUACUAUACUUGCUAGGUAGAGAGCACGUACAUUACAGCUAGAACAGUUCAUUACAUUACAUAUACAAGAAUACGUUAAUUAUUGUGAUUUAAAUCGGAGCAUGACUUAAAUGUCAUGACCCGAGUUGUAGCCAGAGUCUCUUGGAGGGAGAGCGUGAGUUUGCGUAUAGAUCUAUACUGGAUUGACAAUCCUACACCUUGCUGCUAGCUACAGCCGGACCUGCAGGUCUGCGGGUGCCAAACGUCAUUCCGUUAUUACGACCAUUCGUAUGUCGUUGUUACCAGUCGAUAGUAUGGUGCAAUUUAUCACAUAAUGCCUUAAUAUAAAUCCGGUUUAAGGUAGUUAGUACAGCAGUAGUUCUUAUAGCGCUACGUUUUAGUACUACAUUAAUUUUCCCUGUACAUAUAUUUAGUGAUCUUUUCACUUAAACUAUAAAUGUAAAAACUAUAUUUUGUUAAUGAUAGUUACACUUGGGAAAAUUACACACUUUUACAAGAAACGAACAUUUAGAACAGUUAAGUCUUGGUAGAAGACUACAUUGAGAACAGUUAGGUCUUGGUAGAAGACACCCUUAUAUAAUAGUAGGAAUCAUAGGGAUUUCUAGAGUUUUUCAAACGUUUACAGUUGUUUUACAAACAUUUUCAUACUUACAGUUCAUAUACAUUUUCAAUACUUACAAUUCAUUUACUUACAAAUUCUUACAUACAAAUUAAGACACUAAAUACUUAUGAUCUCACCAGCUUCAAAGCUGAUACUCGCUUUCAAAAUUACUUGUAUCCUCAGGUCAUCAUAGACAGGUACCGAUGCAAGGAGAAAGGAAGAUGGAGCUUGUUCAAGACUCAUCUUUCAUUUUGAUUUAUGCUUUAGUGUUUAUCAAAAUUUGACAGAACACAUUUGUAUAAUAAUUAUAUUAUUAAUGCAAUGGAUGAUGUUGUUGCUUGUUUACUACUUUACAUUGUUGUGAUACUGUACAUGACGUCCUCCGCCCCAGAACGUUUCCGCCGUUCUUGGUUUUGGGGUGUGACAGAUUGGUAUCAGAGCAUUGUUUAUAGUGAAUUAAGUAUAUCAACCCAUAAAAGAUAUACUAACUAUAAAUACAUAAGGGAUUAAAAAUACUCUGACCAAGAGUUUAUACUUUAAAUAGUAAAAUAUUUAAGUAAGUAUACGUGCUGCAUUCAUACUAAAAUCAGUGUCACUAGGACAGUACAAAAGAAUUACGGUUGUUGGGCAACACAAGUGAGCUUAGAGACAUAUGGUCAAAACUGGGAAGAUAUAGCCUGAUCGCCUAUAUUAUCCGAGGGUUGACUAGUAUGUGCCUAAGUUUAAUUGUGUGGUUGCAACAAUGCUAAAAUCUUACCAACCCUACCACAAUGAGAACAAUAGAACAUAACAAUAAAUUUAAAAUACUAUAGGAGUAUUUAGUGUUACUACAAGUAGUUUAUACUUGAGAAUUAAAACGGGAUCUUCAUUAAUAAGUUGAUAGUUGCUAAGUGGAUACACUGAGGCUAUAUGUAAUUAGGAUGUUAUAGACUUAGAAUCUGUGAAAAUUUUACUUCACCCCUAUUCUGUGUGAAUAUGGAGUUAAGGUCGCUUAUUCGAAGGUCUAUCCUGUUUAGAUCACACAUAGCUAGUAUGCACUUCACAAUUAGUGAUGUAACUAAUGAAGGUUUUCUAAAUAAUUAUCUAGAUAGUUCGUAUAAUAAUUAUUCUCUUACCCUAAAUUCUCGCAUAGAAAACAUAGCUGGACUCCAUCCCCUUAGCAACCAGUAUCUUCCGAACGAAGUCAUAGCUGGUUGGUUUGGAGAAGAACCAGAGAAUGAUCAUCCUAUCCCCUUGAAUGAUCACCAUGUUGAAGACCUUUCGUAUGAUGCUAACUUCAAACCAGAGGUUGAGAACCUACCCCAAGCAGCUCCCUUUCAAAUUCCUAACCCUCGUCCGGCUUUUCAUGGCCCGACCCUGAGUGAGUGGAAUGCUUGGAAACAUGGAGCCAAGGACAAGAUCAACCCAUGCCAUUUAAUGGCGACCGAAGCUUUUACGACUUGAGCAAUGGGGGCUUAGCAGAUAGAGCCUUGCCAAUCUUGGUCCGCAAAGUGGCCCGAAAUGAGAUUCAAGGCAGGAUAGCCCUACGUCAGAUUACCGAAGUUGUCGCUGAUGCGAGACUGCAUACCCUCCGCACCAUUCGUCUAGAAGAUGCUCGUGAGAGAUCUGAGAGAAACCAUAAAACCCUGCUGCCAGCACUGGCUGAAUCUUGAGUCGAAGUGAUAGAGCUCCGAGUACGCCAGAUGGUGUGCGAAAGACACCUACUUGACAUGGAACGUCAAUUGGCUGAACUAAGAGUUCACCAGAGGGAUGACCGUCGCCGGUAGUGGACGUUUUACUUUAUUUUUCCUUAUAAAAACGAAUCGUGUUUUUCUGUCUAUGCUCGAUGUGGCAUUUUCUAUGAAAUUAUCUUGUGUCGUAAGUACUUUAGUUAGGUCCUUAUGCUGUCAGGAACUACCUUCUCGGGAUAUGAUGUAAGACCUUUACGAGGUCAUUUUCCCGAAUCUUUACAUCGUAAAUAUCCAAGAUAUUGACAGCCGGCUAACUUCUGUUUCAUUCUUCAUUCAAGUACUUUCAUCAUACUUUCAUUGGAGUCUAUCUGAAUCAUGCUUUAUUCAAGUCAUAUGACUAUAGUAAUUUAGCUCCGGAGACAUUUCCAAGUCUCUUUCAGUGGUUGGAUCCUGUUAUUUACCAAGCGCAAAGACACACACAAAUCCACUCAAAACUUCAAGUUUCUCAACAAAUAGCUCAUAAUGCGAUUUAGGGUUUCAGGGAGGCUGAUGAGAGGCUGAGGGAAAUGAUUAAGUCCUUUAAAUAGGGUGCAAAACCCUGGAAAUUAGGGUUUCCUCCUAGCCGAUCUACUCAUCGAGUUGAGGCCUCUCAACUCAUCGAGUAACUCACUUAAAUCACGCGGUUUUGACAUUCUCUACUCGAUGCGUUUGGGGCUUCCAACUCCUCAAGUUGCUCUGUAGAAAUGAAUAAUUUAUAAUCUAAAUGCAUACCAGGAAUCAAGCAUUACAAUUUUCCCACACUUUUUUUAGACUUCGUCCUUGAAGUCUAUUGUCUCAAAUAACUCUAGGUAAUGCUCUCUCACUUCCUCCUCGGGCUCCCAAGUCCACUCUGACCCAUUUCGUUGCAUCGACUGCACCUUCACCAACUGUACAACCUUGUUCCUGAAGGUUUUUGUCUUGCGAUCCAGAAUCGCAACUUGUCUCUCAAUGUAGUUCAGGCUAUCAUCAACCUGGAUAUCCUCUAGAGGCACAACUAUGAAAUCAUCCACCAAGCACUUACAUAGCUAGGAGACAUGAAAAGUGUUGUGGAUCUGGCUGAGCUUUGCUGUAAGAUCCAAACAAUAGACCACAUGGCAAACACGAACCAUAACUCUAAAAGGUCGAUGCACCCGGGGCCCAGCUUGCCUCACUUCUUGAACCGGAUGACACAUUUCCAUGGUGAUACCUUCGGGAGGACCAUAUCCCUACCUGAAAUCUAGGUUUGAACGACGCUUGUCAACAUAGCUUUUCUACCGACAAUGACCAGUUUAGAUCCUGCUGUGGACCUGUUGCAUCUUCUCUAUGGUCUUUAGUACCACCUCAGUACUCCCCAUGACUCUCUGACCCACGUCACCCUAACAGAUUAGGUUCCUACCCUUCCUCCCGUAGAGCAUCUCAAAGGGAGGUCGAUCUAUGCUAGCGUGAUAACUAUUGUUAUACAAAAAUUCCGCUAACGGAAGAUACGUAUCCUAACUACCACCGAAAUCCAAUACACAUGCGCGCACAUAUCCUCGAGAUUCUGGAUUGUCCUCUUAUUCUACCCAUAAAACGGAGGAUGAAAGGUUGUGCUCAAGUGAAGACAAGUGCCCAUCUCGUCAUGGAAUCGCUUCCAAAACCGGGAAGUAAAACAAACAUCUCGGUCUCACACCACCGAAACCGGCACGCUAUGAAGUGCUACCACCUCUCGAACGUAGAUCUCGGCUAGCUUCUUAACCGAUAUACUAUCCUGGUUCGUUAUGAAAUGAGUGCUCUUGGUCAACCGAUCCAUGAUGAUUCAAAUCGAAUUUACUCCACGUGCGGUCCUGGGAAGCUUCGUGAUGGAAUCCAUAGUGAUAUCUUCCCAUUUCCACACGGGAAUAUCCAAUGGUUGCAUCUUUCUGUAAGCUCACUGGUCCGCGACCUUGACUUUCCUGCAACUCAAGCACCGCUCCACAUACCAUGCUAUGUCCCGCUUCAUGUAGGGCCACCAAUAGUCAGGGAGAAGAUCCCGAUACAUCUUUGUCGCCUCGGGAUGGAUGGAUAACCUAGACUUGUGGGCCUCCUACAUCCAAACAUGGUGCACCCCGUCCCAGUAAGGAACCCAGAUUCUCCGAUGUAUGGUCAACAACCCCGGACUGCCAUAAUCGAUUGAGGCCACUUGGCCUAUGAUCCACUGACACUUCUGAUGCUCCUCCUUCAUACCCUCGAGUUGUGCCUCCCGGAUCUUCUCCGGUAAUGGAGUAACCACUGUCAUCCUCACACAUAUGUCUCGUAUCGGAGCUGCUACUUCCUUAUGGCUAAAAGCAUCGACCACCACAUUGGCCUUGCCCAGGUGGUAAAGGAUUUCACAGUUAUAAUCCUGAAGGUUUUUGAGCAUUCUAACACUCCUAUGGUGAACAUGCAACCCUAAAUACCUUGGAUCUAUGUUUUCUCUAUUAUACAUGCAAACUUGAACUUUCCAAGGUAUUACCCUAACUAGCUUACAAUCAUUGAUACUUGGGUAAUAUAAAAAGGUUAGAAGACAUACCGUUUCAUGUAGUUUGAUUACAUGUAUCUUAAGAGCCUAGUGCCUCACGUGUGACACCUCAAAUGGUUCACACAACAUCACCAACAUCUUGGAAUAACUUGAGAGAAAAGGUUCCUAUGCACAAAUCGGCUAGCCCUCAUGUGUACACAUACUAGUGCCAAUUUCUUGAGCCAUGGGGUCCUUAUAUAUGGUGGCUAUUAGGCUUACACCAUGUAACUCAUGUCUUUCCAUAUUCUUCACGCUCGAUGGGUUAAAACCUCCAUGGAGUAUCCAUGGAUUUAGCCCAACAUGAAGAACUAUGGAUCAUAAGCCCACAUAUAUAACAAUGAAUGAUUUACACAGUCAAUCCCCAUAUAUUUAAUUAGUCUCCUUUUGAUCACAAAAUUAAUUCCAAAUUAAUUAUUGAUCAAUACUAAUUAAAUAAUAUGAUUUCAUAUUAAUAUAUUAGAACUUAUAAUAUAUUAACAAAUCAUAAAUAUCCUUUUCUCACUAAAGUCUAUCCAAAUUGUUUCGAUGCCAUGCAACCCAAAUGGACCAUGCCAAUCGGGUCAAGUACAUACGAAUUAUAGUUAUGGACUUAGACAUUAAUCCAACAGUCUCCACUUGGAUAAGUCUACAACUAUUAUUGCGUAUGACUUCAAAUCCUGACUAGCAAUCAUAUCUCUUAAAAGCUGUUGUCAAACUCUGAACAAAUCAAUGACGCAUCCAUUAGAUAAGGGAUCAUAUAUUUUCUCCAUUAUAGAUAUCAUAUGGACUGAGACAAGGAUUAUAAUCAUUCUCUCUGUCCGUUUGUUGUUUCCUGAUUUUCGAUUUAUGACGACCGACUAAUUGAACAAAUCAAAUCGAUCCUGGCUUGGACAAGCACUUCGAGGUGUCAUCACUAAAUCAUAGAGGGGCCCACAAAUAUCGCUUUUAUCCCUUCAAAGGUAAAACGAAUGGAUAAACUUCGAAUCAUAUGCUUAUUCUACUACUUGUUGAAUCACACACAAAGGCACGUUUUAUAACAUCGAGUUACCAAUGUGUUUUCGUACAAUCAAUGUAUAACCAACUAAUAGGCAAUAACUUAUAUCUAUAGGUUUGAAGAAUAUAAGAUAUUAUCAUCUCAUGAUCACUUGUGAUAAAAUCCAUGAAGUGAUUCAAAUGAGCCUGGGUUUAAACCAAUACUCAGAACUUAUGAGCACUCAUCAAUGUUGCAGCAACUCUGGCUAUGUCCACUACCUUGGACAUCUACAAACCAGCUUCAUGAUAGUAUGAUUCAUAUCUACUUCCAACAGAUGACCGACUGUCGAUGGUUUUAAUAACUUAGUCAUUCAGGAAGAAUGAUCUAGUUAUUCUGGAAGUCAAAACAUGCAAAGUGAAACACACGAAUAAUCGAAUUCAAUAUGGUCUUAGAACUUAUGAAUAUAAAUAGAACAUGUUCAUUUUAUUUAUCACCAUAUUGAUUACACAUUAUUCAUUGUAUACUGUUUCAACCAUUAACUUUAUACUUGAAUUAAAACAAUAGUUGGCCCAUGCUCCAAGCAUGUACACAAUGUUUUCCUAAACACUUGUCAUGCCAUACACCAAGUAUGCACACUAUGUUUUUUCAAACAUUAGUUAUGCCAUACACCAAGUAUGCACACUUUGUCUAUGAUCUUUACUUUGUGAAAUAGAUCGGUUGAACAUAAUUCCAAUGAUUCUCAUUUCACAAUCCCAAAUUCUUACCGCAAAUGCAAGAAGUCUAAAUUCCUGCCAUUUACCUAAAUCUAUUAGAUAUUAAACUUAUAUGCAUUGAUCCUCUUGUAAUGAUAAUGCACAAAGUCACAAAGACUUGUCAACAGAAAUUACAAAGUAUUCCAAUGGAGAUCAUUCAAUGGAAAUGAAGUCUCAAAUUCAAAGUACAUUGCUUUGAACAUCCCUCUUGCAUUAAGUUUCCUAAUCUUACAUAGAAUUAAUGAAUAACUUCGACCUAUGGGAAUAUAUCCAUAUUCUCAUUUUGACAAUCACUUCUGAACAAGAGUUGCCACUUUUCAGAAUAUGUCAAAAUGGUCCUCUCCAAUAAUUUACACUAUACUUCCAACUGUCCCUUAGCAACCAAUCUUUGGUAAACCUUAGAUAGUCCUCGACAAUUGCUUAAUCAAAUUAGUCAUACCCAGUUCUAGUACUUUUUCCCUCUUAAUGCUCUAGGCAUUUGGAAAAAUUUGGAACAAAUGAAUAUUAUAGCACAUGCAAUCGAUCCUCACUACAAGAAAAAUCACAUACAGUCACACCAAAAAAGUGUGACCGUAUGCGUAUAGUGACAUUUUAUUUUUUUCACUGAAAGUGCGACGAAAGGUGACGCCAUCGUAUGGCUCUUAUGGUCACUUUAAAAUGUAGUGUCCGUAUGAUAUGAAAACAUGUGGCCGUAUUAUAAAAGUGUGGCAAAUGUGUACGGAAUUUUGUUCCUUAAAUAUCCAAUAUUGUAGCGUUAAACCGUCAGUAGUCACAUAUAUUUAGUAAACGUUGUGACUGUAUACCACCAACUUGCGACAUUCAUNGACUGUAUACACCAACUUGCGACAUUCAUGAUGUUUUAGUGUAGUUGUUUUCUUCUAUAUUGUCACACAGUUUAAAUUUUACUAAGACUAUUGUGUAUCUUUUGUAAACAUGUAAUUAUGGUGAAUGUGACCAUGUUUGCUAAAUGACCACAUGUAAUUACUUCCAUAAGUGGCGAAUUGGUAAUUAUUAGUCACAAUAAAACAAUCAAUUUUUGUGACCAUAACCUAUCGUAUAGAGACACACAAUUAAGUGAAAUACAAUCAUAAGUAUUAUAAAGACAUACAUUUUGCUAAAAUUAAGGACUAUUCGGUAUCGUAUUAAGACUAUUGGGUAUAUUUUAGACACAUAUAAUUACGGUGAACAUGUCCAUGUUCGGUAAAUGGACACAUAUAAUUAAUGAUGUAAGUGACGAUUAGCUAGUAUUUAGUCUCAGCAACAAUCAAUUAUGGUAUUUAUUUGCCACAUAAAUUGUUUUUCAUGUUGUUAUUGUUUAACUUAGUCACAAGAACUUUAGAAUAAACAUCAUUUUAAAUCAAUUGUAGUCUCAAAAUUCUUGUAUAUUAUGGCUAUUGUUAACAUGAAAUACAAUCAUAAGUAUAGAGACACACAAUUAAGUGAAAUACAAUCAUAAGUAUAUUUUUAGAGCCAUUAAAAACCUAUAAAACAUGGCAAAAUUUAUAUUACAACCACUUUAACUUACUAUUUAUUGCUACUUUUUAUACAUUGUAGACACAUCAAAAUAAUUUAAAUUAAAGUAAUGAAACCCAACAAUAUGAAACAAAACAAAAUUCAUAAUUUGAUAUUACUAAUAAUUAAAAUCCAAAUCCAUACAUUACAUUCCAAAUUAAAAUAUCAAAGAAAAGAAAAUUGUCCUCAUUUCAAGAAUUUAAAUAAUUGUUAAAAAAUCAAACAUGUCAUAAACAAAAACCUAAACAUAACUAGACAUUCAUCUUGUUUGUGUUGCUCUAUGUCUUCUUGAGAAGGGAAUCAGAUGAGGAAGCUUUGUGAAACGGUUGACAGCAAUUAGGAUGCUUCAUGUAUAUAUCUAAUAUAAACACUAAGGGGUUGUUCGGUAGCCUCUUAAUUGACAAAUUAAGAGGCAACCUCUUAAUUAUUCAGAUUAAGAGUGUUUGGUUGCCUAUGAAUUAAAGCCUCUUAAACUUUUAGAAGCCUCUUAAACUUUCAGACUUCAACGUAUAUCUGAAUAGAAAAGAAACGCACUUUUCCCUCUUUUGCCCUCAUACACGUUCUGUGAUUCAUCAUCCCUUUGGUAUUUCCCCACAUUUGACCAACUCUAACACCGAUCAUCUCCUCCCAUCGGCGACCAACUCCGUCAACCCCCUCCCAUCGUCGACCUCGGACAACGUAGCCGUCCCUAUCUUCUACCUCACACACACGAGUUUCCGACAACUUCUUAUAUUCACUCCUACCACCAAGAUCAGAACGAUGGCACCAAUCUUCGAACGCUUCUUCGACAACGCCAUCAUCGCCAGUGGUAUCGGCCAUCGACAGCGCUGACGACCGCAACGGAACCGCCUUGGCGCACAAGGUUUGUUUUUCUCUAGUUUUUCUAAAAAUCGAUUUCUGUGAAAUCUGUUCUUGAAGUCUACACAUGAAAUCAUUUCCCCCUCUAAUUUUUUGUUAUCUAUGAUACAUGAUUUUGAAGGCUGAUCGACUGCUAGGGUUGUUUGACCAAUUUCAAUUUUGCUGCACAGGAAUGGAAUUGAGGUGAAAACUUGUUUUUUUCUCCUGAAAUCAGAUUUGGUGUAUAGUUUUAUGCAUUUGCUGGGUUUUUUAUUCUUUUACUUUGUUUUUGCUGUGAAUCUUGUUUAUCUUUGUUUUCUAUUGGUUUUCUCUGAAAUCUUGCUAAUUUCUUGUUUCUCUUCGUUUCUAUUGUGAAAUGUUGCUGAAAUAUUCAAAAAAACAUUGCUGUGAAAUCUUGGUUUUUGCUGUUUGUUCUCUUUCCAACAACAACACAUGAAGUAUUUUUUUUUGAUUUGUUGUUUUUCUGAAAUUUUGUUAUGAAAGUAUGCAUAUGAUUUCUGAGAAUCUGUGGAAUCUUGUGAAAAAAUCUAUGAAAUUGUGCUAAUUUUAUUAGUUUGAUAAUAUUGCUGAAAUCAUAUGCUUGUUGUUUGUUUGAUGAAAUCUGAAAUGUGAUCAUAAUUUUGCUGAUGAAAUUAUAUGCUUUGUUGUUCUACUUUGAUUUGUUGUUUUGCUUGAUAAAAUAUGAAUAUUAGCUUGUCAUGGAAUCACUAAAUGAAAGUAUGAUGCUAUAUCUUGAACAGGUGGUGAAUUUAAGUAAAGAAAUUGUGAAUUUAAGUAAAGAAUAUGUGGUUUACACCAAAAGGGUAUUUUGGGGAACAAGUGAAAAUUGACAAGAGAAGAGAAGAUAUUUACUUUUUAGAUAUGUUUUAGGUUAUCAAUGUUUUUGAGCUUUUAAUUGUUUUGGAUACAACAAUUAAGAAAUAGGUUUGUCAUUUUUGAUAUGAAAUCUUGAUUUUCUUGUAUUAUUGCAAUUAGUAGCUUUGGGUAUAAUCAAGAAAUAAUAGUGAUAUGUUUGAUUUGGAUUUUUGUUUAAUCUAGAUUUUAUAUGAUGUUUGUAUACUUUAUAAUUAUUCAAUAAGUUGAUUCAGUUAUUUUAUAAACAAAAACAUUAAAUUCAGCAAACAAAAAUUAAAAAAAAAAACACAAAAGGGUAAAAUGGUCAUUUUUAUAAUUCAGUACCGCAAUUCAAAGGUUCCAACCAAACAAAAUUUGAAAAUUCAGAUCUUAAAAAUUCAGACCCUCUUAGAAAUUCAGACCUCUUAAAAAUUCAGCUCUUAAAAAUUCAGAUCCUGCCAAACAGCC
rnacentral:lncRNA from 1 species